rnacentral:rRNA from 1 species
AUUGAACGCUGGCGGCAUGCCUUACACAUGCAAGUCGAACGGUAACGCGCCUUCGGGUGCCGACGAGUGGCGAACGGGUGAGUAAUACAUCGGAACGUGCCCGAUCGUGGGGGAUAACGAGGCGAAAGCUUUGCUAAUACCGCAUACGAUCUACGGAUGAAAGCAGGGGACCGCAAGGCCUUGCGCGGACGGAGCGGCCGAUGGCAGAUUAGGUAGUUGGUGGGAUAAAAGCUUACCAAGCCGACGAUCUGUAGCUGGUCUGAGAGGAUGAUCAGCCACACUGGGACUGAGACACGGCCCAGACUCCUACGGGAGGCAGCAGUGGGGAAUUUUGGACAAUGGGCGCAAGCCUGAUCCAACCAUGCCGCGUGCAGGAUGAAGGCCUUCGGGUUGUAAACUGCUUUUGUACGGAACGAAAAGCCUUCUUUUAAUACAGGAGGGUCAUGACGGUACCGUAAGAAUAAGCACCGGCUAACUACGUG